rnacentral:rRNA from 1 species
CACUCCUCGGGAGGCAGCAGUGGGGAAUAUUGGACAAUGGGCGCAAGCCUGAUCCAGCCAUGCCGCGUGAGUGAUGAAGGCCCUAGGGUGGUAAAGCUCUUUCACCGGUGAAGAUAAUGACGGUAACCGGAGAAGAAGCCCCGGCUAACUUCGUGCCAGCAGCCGCGGUAAUACGAAGGGGGCUAGCGUUGUUCGGAUUUACUGGGCGUAAAGCGCACGUAGGCGGACUAUUAAGUCAGGGGUGAAAUCCCGGGGCUCAACCCCGGAACUGCCUUUGAUACUGGUAGUCUUGAGUUCGAGAGAGGUGAGUGGAAUUCCGAGUGUAGAGGUGAAAUUCGUAGAUAUUCGGAGGAACACCAGUGGCGAAGGCGGCUCACUGGCUCGAUACUGACGCUGAGGUGCGAAAGCGUGGGGAGCAAACAGGAUUAGAUACCCCUGUAGUCCCAUG